GUCGAGCGGACAGAAGGGAGCUUGCUCCCGGAUGUUAGCGGCGGACGGGUGAGUAACACGUGGGUAACCUGCCUGUAAGACUGGGAUAACUCCGGGAAACCGGGGCUAAUACCGGAUAGUUCCUUGAACCGCAUGGUUCAAGGAUGAAAGACGGUUUCGGCUGUCACUUGCAGAUGGACCCGCGGCGCAUUAGCUAGUUGGUGGGGUAAUGGCUCACCAAGGCGACGAUGCGUAGCCGACCUGAGAGGGUGAUCGGCCACACUGGGACUGAGACACGGCCCAGACUCCUACGGGAGGCAGCAGUAGGGAAUCUUCCGCAAUGGACGAAAGUCUGACGGAGCAACGCCGCGUGAGUGAUGAAGGCUUUCGGAUCGUAAAGCUCUGUUGUUAGGGAAGAACAAGUGCGAGAGUAACUAGCUCGCACCUUGACGGUACCUAACCAGAAAGCCACGGCUAACUACGUGCCAGCAGCCGCGGUAAUACGUAGGUGGCAAGCGUUGUCCGGAAUUAUUGGGCGUAAAGGGCUCGCAGGCGGUUUCUUAAGUCUGAUGUGAAAGCCCCCGGCUCAACCGGGGAGGGUCAUUGGAAACUGGGAAACUUGAGUGCAGAAGAGGAGAGUGGAAUUCCACGUGUAGCGGUGAAAUGCGUAGAGAUGUGGAGGAACACCAGUGGCGAAGGCGACUCUCUGGUCUGUAACUGACGCUGAGGAGCGAAAGCGUGGGGAGCGAACAGGAUUAGAUACCCUGGUAGUCCACGCCGUAAACGAUGAGUGCUAAGUGUUAGGGGGUUUCCGCCCCUUAGUGCUGCAGCUAACGCAUUAAGCACUCCGCCUGGGGAGUACGGCCGCAAGACUGAAACUCAAAGGAAUUGACGGGGGCCCGCACAAGCGGUGGAGCAUGUGGUUUAAUUCGAAGCAACGCGAAGAACCUUACCAGGUCUUGACAUCCUCUGACAACCCUAGAGAUAGGGCUUUCCCUUCGGGGACAGAGUGACAGGUGGUGCAUGGUUGUCGUCAGCUCGUGUCGUGAGAUGUUGGGUUAAGUCCCGCAACGACCGCAACCCUUGAUCUUAGUUGCCAGCAUUUAGUUGGGCACUCUAAGGUGACUGCCGGUGACAAACCGGAGGAAGGUGGGGAUGACGUCAAAUCAUCAUGGCCCUUAUGACCUGGGCUACACACGUGCUACAAUGGACAGAACAAAGGGCUGCGAGACCGCAAGGUUUAGCCAAUCCCAUAAAUCUGUUCUCAGUUCGGAUCGCAGUCUGCAACUCGACUGCGUGAAGCUGGAAUCGCUAG
rnacentral:rRNA from 1 species